CAAAGGACUUGCUUGUUCUCAUGCUAUUGAAAUUGGUUUUGCAGACUUUCCAUAAGAGAGCAGAUGUAGAUUACCCAAGUGAUUGCCACCACAGGUCUUGACCCUGUAUGCAGAUCUGAGGAAAUAUCACAACAUAAAAGUUUUGCUCACCACCUGAUUGCGUUCCUGAUUGCUUUUUCUUUGGUCAUUUCAUGGGAAGGGCUGCAGCUGGACAGCAAGAUGCAGUCCAGUGUCUGACCUCCAGCAUGGCUGCAUCUACACUUCGAGGAAAACCUGGGGAGAUGCAUCUGAAAUACCCUCUGGAAUUCA